UACGUAGGGAGCAAGCGUUGUCCGGAAUCAUUGGGCGUAAAGCGCGCGUAGGUGGCCCCAUAAGUCCGCUGUGAAAGUCAAAGGCUCAACCUUUGAAAAGCCGGUGGAUACUGUGGGACUAGAGUACGGAAGAGGCGAGUGGAAUUCCUGGUGUAGCGGUGGAAUGCGCAGAUAUCAGGAGGAACACCAAUAGCGAAGGCAGCUCGCUGGGACGUUACUGACACUGAGGCGCGAAAGCGUGGGGAGCGAACAGG
rnacentral:rRNA from 1 species